CCAAUAGCGUACAUUAAAGUUGUUGCAGUUAAAAAGCUCGUAGUUGAAUUUCGGGGUCAGUAGGUCGGUCGUGCCACUGGUAUGAACUGGUUUUACUGAUUCCUCCCUCUUGAAGAACUGUAAUGCCAUUAAUUUGGUGUUGCAGGGAAUCAGGACUGUUACUUUGAAAAAAUUAGAGUGUUUAAAGCAGGCUUUAGCUUGAAUACAUUAGCAUGGAAUAAUGAAAUAGGACGUUUGAUCCUAUUUUGUUGGUUUCUAGGAUUGACGUAAUGAUUAAUAGGGAUAGUUGGGGGCAUUAGUAUUCAAUUGUCAGAGGUGAAAUUCUUGGAUUUAUUGAAGACUAACUACUGCGAAAGCAUUUGCCAAGGAUGUUUUCAUUAAUCAAGAACGAAAGUUAGGGGAUCGAAGACGAUCAGAUACCGUCGUAGUCUUAACCAUAAACUAUGCCGACUAGGGAUCGGAUGAUGUUAAUUUUUUAAUGACUCAUUCGGCGCCUUAC
rnacentral:rRNA from 1 species